GACGAACGCUGGCGGCGUGCUUAACACAUGCAAGUCGUACGGAAAGGCCCUUUCCGGGGUCCACGAGCGGCGACCGGGUGCGUAACACGUGCGUAACCUUCCCACACCUUUGGGAUAACGCUAGCAACCUGGUACCAGUGCUGGUUCUGUGCUCCUUCUUCAUGGUGGGGGUUGGAAAGCUCCGGCGGUUGUGGAUGGACUCGCGGCCUAUCAGCUUGUUGGGGGGGUAGUGGCCUACCAAGGCGGCUUCGGGUAGCCGGCCUGCGUGAGUGACCGGCGACAUUGGGACUGAGGGACGGCCCAGAUACCUACGGGAGGCAGCAGUGGGGAAUAUUGCACAAUGGGCGCAAGCCUGAUGCAGAAAGGCCGCGGGCGGGAUGACGGCCUUCGGGUUGUAAACCGCAUUCAGCAGGGACGAAGCUUGUUGUGACGGUACCUGAAGAAGAAGCACCGGCUAACUACGUG
rnacentral:rRNA from 1 species